UAAUCGCGCAUCAGCCAUGGCGCGGUGAAUACGUUCCCGGGCCUUGUACACACCGCCCGUCAAGCCAUGGGAGCCGGGGGCGCCUGAAGUGCGGUACCGCGAGGGCCGCCCAAGGGCGAGACCGGUGACUGGGGCUAAGUCGUAACAAGGUACC
rnacentral:rRNA from 1 species